GAAGUCAUAGUCCAUUGCUACGAAUUUAAUAUUACCCGGACAGUUGGACUAUUAUUACUCUUGAGCUGGAUACCUGGAUGUAUACUUUAAAAGGUUGCAAUAAAGAGUUAUUUUUGGAUUUAUUCUUGGGUUUACCCUAGUGUGAACCUCUAAAUUCAUCAACCAGUAGAAUUAUGUUAUUUCAUAUUCGAUAUAUUAUAAAAAAAAUAUAUUGUCAAAUUCUAUUUUCUUUUUGAAAUUAAAAAGUAAACAAAAUAAAUAAAAAAUAGUAGUAAUUACAAAAAAAAAAUUAAUGUCAUCAGCAAAACAUUAAACCCUAAAUCCUAAUCCCUAAACUCUAAAUCCUAAAACUUAAACCCUUGGGUAAACCCUAAACUCUAGGAUAAAUCUUAAACUCUAAAUCAAAAUCACUAAACACUAAAACACUCAAGGGUUUCAGGUUUAGGGUUUAGGAUUUAGGGUUUAGAGCUUUAGGGUUUAGUUUUUUUCUUUUGAGUUUAGGAUUUAUCCAAGGGUUUAAGAUUUACCCAAGGAUCUAGAGUUUACCUAAGGGUUUAGGGUUUACCCAAGGGUUUAAGGUUUAGGAUUUAGGGUUUAAGGAUUAGGAUUUAGGGUUUAGUGUUUUGCUGACGACUUUAAAAAGAUUUUUUUUUUUAAUUCUUUUUUCUGUAGCUACUAUUUUUUUUUACUUUUUAUUUAUUUUAAAAACAUAAUAUAAUUUGACAAUAUUUUGUUUCUUUUUUUUAAAAGAUAUCGAAUUUGAAAUAAUGAAAUCCUAUUGGUUGGUGAACCUAUUUAAUUCAAAAACAUUGGAUUUUAAAAUGUAAUAAACUCAAUUUAUAUUUAAUUUAAAAACAUUGGAUUUUAAAAUGUAAUAAACUCAAUUUAUAUUUUAAGACAAAAACUGAGUCAAUAUUUACUUAGGUGUAUAAAUUUCAAUAAUUAUUAUAAACCUAAUUUUUAUUAUUAUAAACCUAAUUAGUUAUUUAAAAAUAAAAAAAAUAAAAG
rnacentral:lncRNA from 1 species